UUGGUUCAAAAUAGUCCUCACUGCUUUAAAUGUGAAGUAGUUAAGAAUUUGCUGCAGAAAAAUGCAAGUGUUUCAGAUCUUGUUAAGCAGCAAAAUAUGAGAAUACUUCAGAAUCAAACAAGGAUUAUGUCAUAUUUGGAAGGUAUUCCCCAAAAAUCAACCGACUAAUUCCUUAUGCCAGAGAUUCUCCGUGAUAUAACAAAAAUUUUGGCAGUUAAACAGAUAUAGCAAGAGAUUCAGAAAGAAAUAGCCCUUGAACUAACAAUAGUAUCAGUCUGAGAAGAAUUAGAAGUUGGAUUUUUGUCCUCACAAGGUUGGUCCAAGUGUAGCAUACUAUUUAGAGGAACAUAAUCAAAAGAGUUUAUCAUCACAUGACCGUGCAACAUUCUCUAUCUCCUUGUACUGUCUUAUAUGCAAAUCUCUACAUAACUAUUCAAAGAGAAAGUAUAUUCAAUCGCCACCUGAGCGUUGGGUCAAUGUGAAAAGGUAGUACAGCUAGGGAAGGGUGGUAGGUGUACGUCACAAGUUUGAAUUUCCUACUUAGGAACCAAGCCUGGGAUUUAACUGGAGAAGGUACACAAAGAUUCAAAGCUGAAAACUCUGAAUUCUUCAGUUACUGGAAAAUAAGACAACAGAGAAAGGGAGAGUAUAUUCAACCAUGAUCGUAUUGCUGUUCUCCUGGAUCUCAUAGUGGAAGAUGGAAUUAGCAAGGUAAUGAGCAAUUCAUGAUACCAAAGACAGAAAUAUUGAGCUGCAUUUUAGGUAUCUCGCCACAUUUUACAUCUCCAGAAAAAUUAACUAGCAUCUGAAGGAAGUAAAAAGGCAUUACUGAAGGUUAUUGGGAUUUGUAAUUGUGAACGGAUUUCAAAAUUAGUCUCAUUUUCCGCACUCAUAAAAACUCUCGAAAGAACAUACUCCUUUUCUUCCAAUUCAAAUCUCAACUUGAUUAAUGAUUCGGAACUAAUGACUUCCAAGAAGAAAUGCAUUUGGAACUUAUUUUACAUGACAUUUAAAAUGAGUAGCUUACUGUGUUGUUAAGCAACAUAUGGAUCAAGUUUAACAUAAUAUUUAAACCAUAAAAGGCGUAUGGGUUUCUUAGCCUAGCUAAAAUACCCACUUCAACACUCAUGAGUAGACUGAAUUUUAAUCAAAACCUAACAGUCCUUGUUAGCUAAAUUGACUGAAGUGCUAAGCUAAAGCAGAAAACAAGCAGCCUACCCCUAUUUGUUUAGUUGCAGGGAAGCAUAAUAGAAAGAAAGUUAGGCUGCUCUCAGUUUUUUAUUUACUUUUUCGUUGGGUGAGAGUGUUCAUAUCCUUUCUAAAAGGAAAACCACGCAUUUAUAAAAUUGUCAAAUCGAAGAGUUAUAUCUUUAGUAGAAAAUGAAGUAUUUGCUAGAACUCUUUAUCAGAUUAUCAUUCUAACCAUUGUUUAUUCAGAAGCACGGUUUAGGAGAAGCUUAGAUUGCCAAAUCCAAAAUUACAACUUCCCAAGAACUACCAAUCUCGUCAUCACCUAGUACGUAUUACAACUACCACGUUAAAAUGAUGCGAAAGAGCAGGUGAUACUACGAUAGACUGUAUUAUGGCACAUCUGCUUCAAAUCUUUGAUACAAUGCAACCUUUAUUAACACAAC
rnacentral:lncRNA from 1 species